rnacentral:rRNA from 1 species
UACAGAGGUCUCAAGCGUUGUUCGGAUUCAUUGGGCGUAAAGGGUGCGUAGGUGGCGGGGUAAGUCAGGUGUGAAAUUUCGGAGCUUAACUCCGAAACUGCAUUUGAUACUGCCUUGCUUGAGGACUGGAGAGGAGACUGGAAUUCACGGUGUAGCAGUGAAAUGCGUAGAUAUCAGGAGGAACACCGAUGGCGAAGGCAGGUCUCUGGGCUGACACUGACGCUCAUGCACGAAAGCGUGGGGAGCAAACAGG